rnacentral:misc_RNA from 1 species
UAGAGGCGGUCAGAGAAAUAUAUUCUCCUUAGGCGGCAGUUGGCAUGAACUUGAACUCGUAAAGUCUCAACGUAAUUGGUUCCGUAUGCCCUCCUGGUAAAAUCAGCCAAAUUCAACUGGAUUUGAUUCCAGCCUUCAUCCAUCUUCAGCGGCAUGGUGCAGAUGAAUGGCUUCACUCGAGUGAUGGCUUGAAAGUUUGAAGCUCGGAAACGUCGCCUGACAUUCUUAUCAUCUAGCACUUGAAUCUCAAAUGUGAAGUAUUUCUUCAAGUUCUUCACAAUCAUAACCAAAAAUGGGAGUUUUAUACCAAGAGUUGC